CGGCCCGAACUCCUACGGGAGGCAGCAGUGGGGAAUAUUGGACAAUGGGGGCCAACCUGAUCCAGCCAUGCCGCGUGUGUGAAGAAGGCCCUCGGGUUGUAAAGCACUUUCAGCGAGGAAGAACGCCUAGUGGUUAAUACCCAUUAGGAAAGACAUCACUCGCAGAAGAAGCACCGGCUAACUCCGUGCCAGCAGCCGCGGUAAUACGGAGGGUGCAAGCGUUAAUCGGAAUUACUGGGCGUAAAGCGCGCGUAGGUGGCUUGAUAAGCCGGUUGUGAAAGCCCCGGGCUCAACCUGGGAACGGCAUCCGGAACUGUCAGGCUAGAGUGCAGGAGAGGAAGGUAGAAUUCCCGGUGUAGCGGUGAAAUGCGUAGAGAUCGGGAGGAAUACCAGUGGCGAAGGCGGCCUUCUGGACUGACACUGACACUGAGGUGCGAAAGCGUGGGUAGCAAACAGGAUUAGAUACCCUGGUAGUCCACGCCGUAAACGAUGUCGACCAGCCGUUGGGUGCCUAGCGCACUUUGUGGCGAAGUUAACGCGAUAAGUCGACCGCCUGGGGAGUACGGCCGCAAGGUUAAAACUCAAAUGAAUUGACGGGGGCCCGCACAAGCGGUGGAGCAUGUGGUUUAAUUCGAUGCAACGCGAAGAACCUUACCUACCCUUGACAUCGACAGAAGCCGAGAGAGAUCUUGGUGUGCCUUCGGGAACUGUCAGACAGGUGCUGCAUGGCUGUCGUCAGCUCGUGUUGUGAAAUGUUGGGUUAAGUCCCGUAACGAGCGCAACCCUUGUCCUUAUUUGCCAGCGCGUAAUGGCGGGAACUCUAAGGAGACUGCCGGUGACAAACCGGAGGAAGGUGGGGACGACGUCAAGUCAUCAUGGCCCUUACGGGUAGGGCUACACACGUGCUACAAUGGCCGGUACAAAGGGCAGCGAGCUCGCGAGAGUCAGCGAAUCCCUUAAAGCCGGUCUCAGUCCGGAUCGGAGUCUGCAACUCGACUCCGUGAAGUCGGAAUCGCUAGUAAUCGGAAUCAGAAG
rnacentral:rRNA from 1 species